rnacentral:misc_RNA from 1 species
AAGAGAGGUAACCGAGUCACCAUAAAUUUAAUAUAUAGAUUAUUAAUUUAUUUAAUUAAUGAAAAGAAAAGAGAUGCCACGUGGAAUGUUGUCAGACAGAAAGUCAAAGUUUGACUGAGUCACGAAGGAAUUGAAAUUCAUUAAUUAGGUUAUUAGUAAAGAAUUGUGUAAAGAAUAAGAAAACGCAGUGGUGAUAGCGUGCGGUCACCGUCUAGCAGACCAGUCCUCGGAGCAUUCUCCGAUAAUUAAUUAAAUAAUUAUGAAAGACGUGGCGGAAUCUUAUUGCUUAAUCUGUUCUGAUAAAGGCACGAGAUUCAUGCUGCAAUAUCAAUGCAGAGUAUCAGCUCGUACCUGAUUCCCCGUAUAUGGGCUGUACUUUUAAUUCAUAGUCUGUUCAUGAUAUGGGUUUGGGUUGCGGAUAGGAUCUUGUACACACAGUAACAUAAUUUCAAAUCAGUUCUGUUUAGAACCGUUUGAUGUAAUUAUUUUGACAUUUGAUGAACGGUUGUGAUAUGCAGAAUGCAGUGGAGCAGCCACCA